GUCUGUUGUUCAUUGGGAAAUUAAUCUAGACUGAGUGAGUGGUCUAAGGUGCGGCCUAAUUAGUGUAGAACUGUUGCCGUGGAGCCAUGCUGUGUCGUUUUUGUAUUAGCAUAAACAGGUCGGUCUGCGCUAUAGAAUUGUUUCAGAUGUUUACAAGCUUUGCAUUUCGAGGAUACAAACAACGUAUUCGAUUACUGCAUGUAAAUCAUGGAUGAAGAGGAAAAAAAAUCAUAAGUCAAAGAAGACUCUUACAAAGCUUCCUCCGUUAUGUGCCGUGAUUUUCUCGAAAACCUCGUAAAAGGCUACACGCUCAGACUCGGAAGUUGCUGUGAUCAUCAUCCUACUUUUGAAUCAGAUGUCAAAAUACUAAUAUUCAAGCGCCUGUUAAUGAAUCUACUGGCUGAAAAGAUCCAUUCACAAGCAUUACCCGAAGGUGCACCUUUUCUUAUGCACAUGAGGAUGUCAAUGCAUGAUUCAGCAACGAGGCUGAAAACUGAGGAGGAAAUGAUGAUCCCAUUGAACUACUUCUUAAAGUCAACAUGAUUAUUAACGUAAUUUAAUUAUGACAUUCACACCUUGAUGCAACAUAGUAUGUCUGAUUUGACAAAAUUUACUCGUCCACUUCACUACAAGAUUACAAACAACGAUUCGAUAGUGAAAACGUUCUACAUAAGGAUGGGUGACUCGCCUACAUGUAACAAGAAAUCCGAAGGAGGUAAACAAACAUGGUAUAAGCGUCGCAAAAUUUCUAGCUUGAGAGGAAUACCAAAACUUUUCCCGUUCAUCUUUAAUGCAUUUUUUAAAGAAAGAAUUUUUAUCCUCUUCACUGAUUGGAAAUGGUCAAUAAGUUAUCAUAUUGAUUAGUACAAAUCAUCUGUGAAAAAAAUAAGCUAUAUAAGAACAGUAAGAAACAAUGCUGUAAAUAGAUGGAGACAUUUUUUUCGCACAUGCAUAGGGAAUAUGUCAAAUGUUUUCUAAAUAGUCAACUCUUUAUGAAAAAGAGAAUAUACGUGCAGACACAAUACAAAACGUGAUCAUGGAUGAUGAGAAAGUUAUAUGUAAACCCUUUGUUUAAAGCAAGUAAUAAAAUGUUCCACUACUGUAAUCCAAAAACACUUCAUGAUAUUAUAAUAUUCUUUAAGAUUUCUUUCUACACGUAUUUCUUUUUUUUUAUGGCAUUGUAAAUCCAAAGGCAAUUACGAGUUAUGAUGAUAUGUUGAUCUUUCUGGUGGAUUCACCAACUUUCUGAUCUUUUAUGUAAACUGAACAAAGCAUUCAUGUUGGUGGGCCCACCAAUUAUGUAUUCAAUUGCAGCGAUAAACUAAUUGUUACCGGCCUGGAGUCUCUUUGGUGAAUCCACCAAUUUUGUAAUUUUUUUUAUAAUUCGUAUAACUUGAUAUCUGGUGGAUCCACCAAGUAUGGGUAUUUUGAAUUUUGUCAAUCUUUUUGGUGGCUUCACCAACUUUCUUCUUGUGUAUAUAAACUGACAUGUUUUGCGGUGUUUCUGUUUAUUUAAUGCCAUCGAUAAAUGUUUAGAAACUUUUGGUGAUUGCACCAACUUUGUACUCUAUAUUUGUUUGUAAAAUUUUAUUGGUGGAUCCACCAAAUAUUUGGAUAAAGAAAUUCUGUCUGCAUUUUUCAUUCUUUGGUGAGAUCACCAAAUUUAAUCAGUAAAGUAUAAAACAAAACGAGUAUUGCAUAUUUGAAGCUGUCUAAAAAAAUACAAUCGCCAAAAUUUUAUUAUUGGUGGACCCACCAAGUUUAUUCGUAAGUGAGAUAUUCGAUGAAAUAACUUGGUUGAUUCACCAAUAUUGUGACUGUUAUUGUGGAAUAUGAAGGUUUUAAGGUACUGUAAAAUGUGCUUUUGUGUGAAAACGAUGGUGGGUUCACCAAUUUAUGUUGUGUUCAAAAACAAAAAUGAAUAAAAAUCAUGUUCAUUUCUG